rnacentral:rRNA from 1 species
GACGAACGCUGGCGGCGUGCUUAACACAUGCAAGUCGAACGCUGAAGCCUGGUGCUUGCACCGGGUGGAUGAGUGGCGAACGGGUGAGUAAUACGUGAGUGACCUGCCUUUGACUCUGGGAUAAGCCUGGGAAACUGGGUCUAAUACCGGAUGCGACUACUGCCCGCAUGGGCUGGUGGUGGAAAGGGUUAUGUACUGGUCUUAGAUGGGCUCACGGCCUAUCAGCUGGUUGGUGGGGUAAUGGCCUACCAAGGCGACGACGGGUAGCCGGCCUGAGAGGGUGACCGGCCACACUGGGACUGAGACACGGCCCAGACUCCUACGGGAGGCAGCAGUGGGGAAUAUUGCACAAUGGGCGCAAGCCUGAUGCAGCGACGCCGCGUGAGGGAUGACGGCCUUCGGGUUGUAAACCUCUUUCAGCAGGGAAAGCGGAAGUGACGGUACCUGCAGAAGAAGCGCCGG